rnacentral:tRNA from 1 species
GGAGGUAGCUCAGUGGUAGAGCUCUUUCCUGGUGUGUGUGAGGCCCUGGGUUCCAUCCCUAGCACUGCA